GGGGUGUAUAGCUUAGUUGGUAGAGCAUUGGGCUUUUAACCUAAUGGCCGCAGGUUCAAGUCCUGCUAUACCCAAAUGCAAAAGGUACGCCGUUAGAGUGAGUGCGCUUGACUAAUAUAGAAAGUCAAGGCUCUAAGCUCCGCUCCUUCGACUGAUUGUUCGCAUCGGAUCUCG
rnacentral:tRNA from 1 species